rnacentral:tRNA from 1 species
AGGACUAUAGUUAAUUAUAACAUUUGAUUUGCACUCAAAAAGUAUUGAAAUUCCAUUUGUCCUA